rnacentral:rRNA from 1 species
AUUGAACGCUGGCGGCAUGCCUUACACAUGCAAGUCGAACGGCAGCACGGGAGCAAUCCUGGUGGCGAGUGGCGAACGGGUGAGUAAAGUAUCGGAACGUGCCCAGUCGGGGGGGAUAACGUAGCCAAAGUUACGCUAAUACCGCAUACGCACUAUGGAUGAAAGCGGGGGAUCGCAAGACCGUGCGCGAUUGGAGCGGCCGAUAUCAGAUUAGGUAGUGGGUGGGGUAAAGGCUCACCAAGCCGACGAUCUGUAGCUGGUCCGAGAGGACGACCAGCCACACUGGGACUGAGACACGGCCCAGACUCCUACGGGAGGCAGCAGUGGGGAAUUUUGGACAAUGGGCGAAAGCCUGAUCCAGCCAUGCCGCGUGCAGGAUGAAGGCCUUCGGGUUGUAAACUGCUUUUGUACGGAACGAAAAGGUUUGGGCUAAUAAGCUGAGCUCAUGACGGUACCGUAAGAAUAAGCACCGGCUAACUACGUGCCAGCAGCCGCAGUAA